rnacentral:rRNA from 1 species
GACGAACGCUGGCGGCGUGCUUAACACAUGCAAGUCGAACGGAAAGGCCCUGCUUUUGUGGGGUGCUCGAGUGGCGAACGGGUGAGUAACACGUGAGUAACCUGCCCUUGACUUUGGGAUAACUUCAGGAAACUGGGGCUAAUACCGGAUCGGAGCUCCUGCUGCAUGGUGGGGGUUGGAACGUUUCGGCGGUUGGGGAUGGACUCGCGGCUUAUCAGCUUGUUGGUGGGGUAGUGGCUUACCAAGGCUUUGACGGGUAGCCGGCCUGAGAGGGUGACCGGCCACAUUGGGACUGAGAUACGGACCAGACUCCUACGGGAGGCAGCAGUGGGGAAUAUUGCACAAUGGGCGGAAGCCUGAUGCAGAAACGCCGCGGGCGGGAUGACGGCCUUCGGGUUGUAAAACGCUUUCGCCUGUGACGAAGCGUGAGUGACGGUAAUGGGUAAAGAAGCACCGGCUAACUACGUG